AAUUCAGCCCGAAAACAUUAAAAGGUUGAAGUAUGAGUGGGACAAUUGGACCCAGGACGAGGUGGACCACUUUAGAGUAGAAUAUGCUUCCUGGAUUCUAUUCCAUGAAAUGAAUCAAGACAAAGCUGAAGCCAUUAGAGGAAGUAAUGCAAUAAGACUGUCCAAGCCAUCCUCAUUGUUAUUGAGUCCAUAUUGUCAGAUAGAUUCUAAUGAUAUUGACACUGAUUAAUGUAACUGUUAUAUAGUCUUGUAAGAAAUUGAACAGAUGAUGUAAAAAUUUGCCAAUUAUGAGUAAAA